UACGGAGGGGGCUAGCGUUGUUCGGAAUUACUGGGCGUAAAGAGCGUGUAGGCGGUUUGGUAGGUCCGCUGUGAAAACUCGAGGCUCAACCUCGAGACGCCGGUGGAAACCAUCAGGCUAGAGUCCGGAAGAGGAGAGUGGAAUUCCUGGUGUAGCGGUGAAAUGCGCAGAUAUCAGGAAGAACACCCGUGGCUAAGGCGGCUCUCUAGUACGGUACUGACGCUGAGACGCGAAAGCGUGGGGAGCGAACAGG
rnacentral:rRNA from 1 species